CUCCAGGGAUUUUGAGUUUUUGCUUGUAACGUUUGACUACUCGUCUUAUUCAAUUUUUUUAAAAAAUAUUAUUUAUUUUAUUUGUGACUUACUUUAUUAUCCACAGUACUUUAAGCGCAACUUUUCAUUUUUGAUAUUUGCAAAAAAAAUUUGAAUAAGACGAGUGGUCAACGUUACAAGCAAAAACUUAAAAGCCCUCAUA
rnacentral:pre_miRNA from 1 species